GUCCAGCCUGCCCAGUGACCAAGUUAAACGGCCGCGGUACCCUAACCGUGCGAAGGUAGCGCAAUCACUUGUUCUUUAAAUGAGGACUAGUAUGAAUGGCAUCACGAGGGUUACACUGUCUCCCACCUCUAAUCAGUGAAACUGAUCUCCCCGUGAAGAAGCGGGGAUAAAACUAUAAGACGAGAAGACCCCAUGGAGCUUCAAACCCGGCAUCAACCAUUAACAUUAAUACCACAUUAAAUAAAUGGACCUGACUGCUGGUUUUAGGUUGGGGUGACCGCGGAGCAUAACAAAACCUCCAUGAUGAACGACCUCCUCUCUAAUCCGAGAGCCACCACUCAAAGAAUCAAAAAAUUGACAUUUAUUGACCCAAACUAUUUUGAUCAACGAACCAAGUUACCCUGGGGAUAACAGCGCAAUCCAUUUCAAGAGCCCCUAUCGACAAAUGGGUUUACGACCUCGAUGUUGGAUCAGGGUAUCCUAGUGGUGCAGCCGCUACUAAAGGUUCGUUUGUUCAACGAUUAAAACCCUACGUGAUCUGA
rnacentral:rRNA from 1 species